rnacentral:rRNA from 1 species
GGCGGCAGGCCUAACACAUGCAAGUCGAGCGCGCCUUCGGGCGAGCGGCGGACGGGUUAGUAACGCGUGGGAACGUGCCCAGAUCUACGGAAUAGCCACUGGAAACGGUGAGUAAUACCGUAUACGCCCUUCGGGGGAAAGAUUUAUCGGAUUUGGAUCGGCCCGCGUUAGAUUAGGUAGUUGGUGGGGUAACGGCCUACCAAGCCUACGAUCUAUAGCUGGUUUUAGAGGAUGAUCAGCAACACUGGGACUGAGACACGGCCCAGACUCCUACGGGAGGCAGCAGUGGGGAAUCUUGGACAAUGGGGGCAACCCUGAUCCAGCCAUGCCGCGUGAGUGAAGAAGGCCCUAGGGUCGUAAAACUCUUUCGCCUGUGAUGAUAAUGACAGUAGCAGGUAAAGAAACCCCGGCUAACUCCGUGCCAGCAGCCGCGGUAAUACGGAGGGGGUUAGCGUUGUUCGGAAUUACUGGGCGUAAAGCGCACGUAGGCGGAUUAGAAAGUUAGAGGUGAAAUCCCGGGGCUCAACCCCGGAACUGCCUUUAAAACUACUAGUCUAGAGUUCGAGAGAGGUGAGUGGAAUUCCGAGUGUAGAGGUGAAAUUCGUAGAUAUUCGGAGGAACACCAGUGGCGAAGGCGGCUCACUGGCUCGAUACUGACGCUGAGGUGCGAAAGUGUGGGGAGC